AACGAACGCUGGCGGCAUGCCUAACACAUGCAAGUCGAACGAGACCGCCGGGCCUAGUGGCGCACCGGUGCGUAACACGUGGUAACCUGCCCGUAGGUUCGGUAUAACUCCCUGAGAGGGGUGCUAAUACCGGAUAAUGUCAUCGGACCAAAGAUCUAUCGCUUUUGGGUGGGCGCGUGUUGGAUUAGCUAGUUGGUAGGGUAAAAGCCUGUCAUGGAGACGAUGCAUAGCUGGUCGGAGAGGAGGACAAGCCACACUGGGACUGAGACACGGACCAGACUCCGACGGAAGGGAGCAGUGGGGAAUAUUGGACAAUGGGCGAAAGCGUGGUACAGCAAUGCCGGGUGAGUGAUGAAGGGGUUAGGGUUGUAAAGCUGUUUGACACGGGAUGAUAAUGACGGUACCGGGAGAAUAAGCACCGGCUAACUACGUG
rnacentral:rRNA from 1 species